rnacentral:rRNA from 1 species
CGAGGACGAACGCUGGCGGCGUGCUUAACACAUGCAAGUCGAACGGUAAGGCCCUUCGGGGUACACGAGUGGCGAACGGGUGAGUAACACGUGGGUGAUCUGCCCUGCACUUCGGGAUAAGCCUGGGAAACUGGGUCUAAUACCGGAUAGGACCAUGGACUUCACGGUUUGUGGUGGAAAGCUUUUGCGGUGUGGAAUGGGCCCGCGGCCUAUCAGCUUGUUGGUGGGGUAAUGGCCUACCAAGGCGACGACGGGUAGCCGGCCUGAGAGGGUGUCCGGCCACACUGGGACUGAGAUACGGCCCAGACUCCUACGGGAGGCAGCAGUGGGGAAUAUUGCACAAUGGGCGCAAGCCUGAUGCAGCGACGCCGCGUGAGGGAUGACGGCCUUCGGGUUGUAAACCUCUUUCAAUAGGGACGAAGCGCAAGUGACGGUACCUAUAGAAGAAGCACCGGCCAACUACGUG